rnacentral:rRNA from 1 species
AUGAACGCUAGCGAUAGGCUUAACACAUGCACGUCGAGGGGCAGCACAAGGUAGCUUGCUAUCUGGGUGGCGACCGGCGCACGGGUGCGUAACGCGUAUGCAACUUGCCCUAUACAGGAGGAUAACCCGUCGAAAGACGGACUAAUACUGCGUAUGCUCACAACUUGGCAUCAAGUGGUGAGGAAAGAAAUUCGGUAUAGGAUAGGCAUGCGUCCCAUUAGCUUGUUGGUGAGGUAACGGCUCACCAAGGCAACGAUGGGUAGGGGAACUGAGAGGUUUAUCCCCCACACUGGUACUGAGACACGGACCAGACUCCUACGGGAGGCAGCAGUGAGGAAUAUUGGUCAAUGGGCGCGAGCCUGAACCAGCCAAGUCGCGUGAAGGAUGACUGUCUUAUGGAUUGUAAACUUCUUUUAUACGGGAAUAACAAGAGUCACGUGUGACUCCCUGCAUGUACCGUAUGAAUAAGCAUCGGCUAACUCCGUG